UGCCAGCCGCCGCGGUAAUACGAAGGGUGCUAGCGUUGUUCGGAAUUACUGGGCGUAAAGAGCAUGUAGGCGGAUUUGUAGGUAUCUUGUGAAAUCCCACGGCUCAACCGUGGAACUGCAGGGUAAACCACAAAUCUUGAGACAAGUAGGGGUUAGUGGAACGAUAUGUGGAGCGGUGAAAUGCGUAGAUAUAUAUCGGAACGCCAAUGGCGAAGGCAGCUAACUGGGCUUGUUCUGACGCUCAGGUACGAAAGCGUGGGUAGCGAACGGGAUUAGAUA
rnacentral:rRNA from 1 species